rnacentral:tRNA from 1 species
AAGGGAGACCUAAUUCAGGUAGGAGACGAAAAAAAAGUAGUCGCUACCAAGAAUCAAUCCCAAAAGGUCGGAGCGAGGCGAAAUUGGCUUUCAAACUAGGUUCUGGGUUCACACAAGACCUGAAUCAGGAACAAGGGCUAUUAGCUCAGGUGGUUAGAGCGCACCCCUGAUAAGGGUGAGGUCCCUGGUUCGAGUCCAGGAUGGCCCACCUAUACAGGUGGCAAAAAGAAAGAAAAGAAGCGAGGAAUCAGCACCUUAUCUUACUGACAUAGUAAGAGAGAAUGCUGGCUCUGAGUAAAGAGUCCAGAGGAACCUUGAAAACUGCAUAGAGCUAGGUGAAAAAGCCAAAAAAGAAGACCGCAA